rnacentral:rRNA from 1 species
GAUGAACGCUGGCGGCGUGCCUAAUACAUGCAAGUCGAGCGAACGGACGAGAAGCUUGCUUCUCUGAUGUUAGCGGCGGACGGGUGAGUAACACGUGGAUAACCUACCUAUAAGACUGGGAUAACUUCGGGAAACCGGAGCUAAUACCGGAUAAUAUUUUGAACCGCAUGGUUCAAAAGUGAAAGACGGUCUUGCUGUCACUUAUAGAUGGAUCCGCGCUGCAUUAGCUAGUUGGUAAGGUAACGGCUUACCAAGGCAACGAUGCAUAGCCGACCUGAGAGGGUGAUCGGCCACACUGGAACUGAGACACGGUCCAGACUCCUACGGGAGGCAGCAGUAGGGAAUCUUCCGCAAUGGGCGAAAGCCUGACGGAGCAACGCCGCGUGAGUGAUGAAGGUCUUCGGAUCGUAAAACUCUGUUAUUAGGGAAGAACAUAUGUGUAAGUAACUGUGCACAUCUUGACGGUACCUAAUCAGAAAGCCACGGCUAACUACGUGCCAGCAGCCGCGGUAAUACGUAGGUGGCAAGCGUUAUCCGGAAUUAUUGGGCGUAAAGCGCGCGUAGGCGGUUUUUUAAGUCUGAUGUGAAAGCCCACGGCUCAACCGUGGAGGGUCAUUGGAAACUGGAAAACUUGAGUGCAGAAGAGGAAAGUGGAAUUCCAUGUGUAGCGGUGAAAUGCGCAGAGAUAUGGAGGAACACCAGUGGCGAAGGCGACUUUCUGGUCUGUAACUGACGCUGAUGUGCGAAAGCGUGGGGAUCAAACAGGAUUAGAUACCCUGGUAGUCCACGCCGUAAACGAUGAGUGCUAAGUGUUAGGGGGUUUCCGCCCCUUAGUGCUGCAGCUAACGCAUUAAGCACUCCGCCUGGGGAGUACGACCGCAAGGUUGAAACUCAAAGGAAUUGACGGGGACCCGCACAAGCGGUGGAGCAUGUGGUUUAAUUCGAAGCAACGCGAAGAACCUUACCAAAUCUUGACAUCCUUUGACAACUCUAGAGAUAGAGCCUUCCCCUUCGGGGGACAAAGUGACAGGUGGUGCAUGGUUGUCGUCAGCUCGUGUCGUGAGAUGUUGGGUUAAGUCCCGCGACGAGCGCAACCCUUAAGCUUAGUUGCCAUCAUUAAGUUGGGCACUCUAAGUUGGCUGCCGGUGACAAACCGGAGGAAGGUGGGGAUGACGUCAAAUCAUCAUGCCCCUUAUGAUUUGGGCUACACACGUGCUACAAUGGACAAUACAAAGGGCAGCGAAACCGCGAGGUCAAGCAAAUCCCAUAAAGUUGUUCUCAGUUCGGAUUGUAGUCUGCAACUCGACUACAUGAAGCUGGAAUCGCUAGUAAUCGUAGAUCAGCAUGCUACGGUGAAUACGUUCCCGGGUCU